GUAGUCCAUGCCGUAAACGUUGGGCACUAGGUGUGGGGGACAUUCCACGUUUUCCGCGCCGUAGCUAACGCAUUAAGUGCCCCGCCUGGGGAGUACGGCCGCAAGGCUAAAACUCAAAGGAAUUGACGGGGGCCCGCACAAGCGGCGGAGCAUGCGGAUUAAUUCGAUGCAACGCGAAGAACCUUACCAAGGCUUGACAUGAACCGGUAACACCUGGAGACAGGUGCCCCGCUUGCGGUCGGUUUACAGGUGGUGCAUGGUUGUCGUCAGCUCGUGUCGUGAGAUGUUGGGUUAAGUCCCGCAACGAGCGCAACCCUCGUUCUAUGUUGCCAGCACGUGAUGGUGGGGACUCAUAGGAGACUGCCGGGGUCAACUCGGAGGAAGGUGGGGACGACGUCAAAUCAUCAUGCCCCUUAUGUCUUGGGCUUCACGCAUGCUACAAUGGCCGGUACAAAGGGUUGCGAUACUGUGAGGUGGAGCUAAUCCCAAAAAGCCGGUCUCAGUUCGGAUUGGGGUCUGCAACUCGACCCCAUGAAGUCGGAGUCGCUAGUAAUCGCAGAUCAGCAACGCUGCGGUGAAUACGUUCCCGGGCCUUGUACACACCGCCCGUCAAGUCACGAAAGUUG
rnacentral:rRNA from 1 species